UACGUAGGGUGCGAGCGUUGUCCGGAAUUAUUGGGCGUAAAGAGCUCGUAGGCGGUUUGUCGCGUCUGCCGUGAAAGUCCGGGGGCUCAACUCCGGAUCUGCGGUGGGUACGGGCAGACUAGAGUGCGGUAGGGGAGAUUGGAAUUCCUGGUGUAGCGGUGGAAUGCGCAGAUAUCAGGAGGAACACCGAUGGCGAAGGCAGAUCUCUGGGCCGUAACUGACGCUGAGGAGCGAAAGCGUGGGGAGCGAACAGG
rnacentral:rRNA from 1 species